rnacentral:rRNA from 1 species
UACGAGGGAUCCUAGCGUUGUUCGGAAUCAUUGGGCGUAAAGGGUGCGUAGGCGGCCAAGUAAGUCAGUUGUGAAAGCCCCGGGCUCAACCCGGGAAGUGCUUCUGAUACUGCUUGGCUUGAGUAUUGGAGAGGUGAGUGGAAUUCCAGGUGUAGUGGUGAAAUACGUAGAUAUCUGGAGGAACACCGGCGGCGAAGGCGGCUUUCUGGUCUGUAACUGACGCUGAGGCGCGAAAGCGUGGGGAGCAAACAGG